rnacentral:tRNA from 1 species
AAUAAGAUAAGCUAAAUUGUAAGCUGUUGGGUUCAUACCCCAGAAAUGAAGCGUUGAUUCUCUUAUUA